AAUUUUGGACAAUGGGGGAAACUCUGAUCCAGCCAUCCCGCGUGUAUGAUGAAGGCCUUCGGGUUGUAAAGUACUUUUGGCAGAGAAGAAAAGGUAUCUCCUAAUACGAGAUACUGCUGACGGAAUCUGCAGAAUAAGCACCGGCUAACUACGUGCCAGCAGCCGCGGUAAUACGUAGGGUGCAAUCGUUAAUCGGAAUUACUGGGCGUAAAGCGUGUGUAGGCGGUUCGGAAAGAAAGAUAUGAAAUCCCAGUGCUCAACCUUGGAACUGAAUUUGUAACUGCCGGGCUAGAGUAUGUCAGAGUGGAGUAGAAUUCCACGUGUAGCAGUGAAAUGCGUAGAUAUGUGGAGGAAUACCGAUGGCGAAGGCAGCCCCCUGGGAUAAUACUGACGCUCAGACACGAAAGCGUGGGGAGCAAACA
rnacentral:rRNA from 1 species